rnacentral:rRNA from 1 species
AUUGAACGCUGGCGGAAUGCUUUACACAUGCAAGUCGAACGGCAGCACGGGGCAACCUGGUGGCGAGUGGCGAACGGGUGAGUAAUACAUCGGAACGUGCCCAAUCGUGGGGGAUAACGUAGCGAAAGUUACGCUAAUACCGCAUACGAUCUACGGAUGAAAGCGGGGGAUCGCAAGACCUCGCGCGAAUGGAGCGGCCGAUGUCAGAUUAGGUAGUUGGUGGGGUAAAGGCUCACCAAGCCGACGAUCUGUAGCUGGUCUGAGAGGACGACCAGCCACACUGGGACUGAGACACGGCCCAGACUCCUACGGGAGGCAGCAGUGGGGAAUUUUGGACAAUGGGCGCAAGCCUGAUCCAGCCAUUCCGCGUGCAGGAUGAAGGCCUUCGGGUUGUAACUAGCUUUUGUACGGAACGAAAGGACUCUGGUUAAUACCUGAGUUAUGACGGUACCGUAAGAAUAAGACACCGGCUAACUACGUGCCAGCAGCCGCGGUAAAGCUAACG